GAGGCUCUCUGCUGCCUUUUGUUUUCUUAGGUUUUGCUGAGAAACGGGAGUGCGUUCUGUGUCGGUGUUUGUGACGCCCUGAGACCCUGCUUGGCCUAGCUAAAGUCCAGAAGGCCUGGGCCCCACAGGGCUUGGAUGAGGGCUCAUGGGCCUGUACUUCAGGAGGCCUGAGAGGCCCGGUCAGUCCCAUGAGGCUACUCGGCUUGGCCCGCAGGUCCUCCGAGGCACAGGGCAGAGGGACACCCCAGGGACCCAUCAGACUCACGACACAGAGAAACUCAAGUGGGGUGCCAGGGCCGGCCACAGAGGCCACGGGCUUCCUGCCUGUGAGGAGCCGCCCUGUUUGUCUGAGCCCUUUGGAGAUUUAGGUUGAGUCAUGAGAACCGGUCAUUGGAACAUACACUUUAUUAUGUUACAAAAACAAAAAUCCCCACUGAAACACAGCUAAAAAAAUAACACAUUUUCCCAAGAUUACAUUACCAAAAACAGUUGUUAUGUCAUUGGAGGGCGUCCAUUAAUACUGCUCGGAGAAGCACGAUCUUACACGAAAAACACGGAUGGGAUUUCGUUUUCACCUUAAAGCAUUAAAGUGCUUUAACUGGUAACAGAGGAGUGGAUGUUUGUGCGUUGGAGACACUGACUGUUCUGAGUGACAAGUGGCUCUGUGCCAGGAUACUGCGGGUCGGGCUCCUGGGUACAGCAAGGGCUUCCCAGCAGCCCAGGCCUGGUGGGAACGCUGGGGGAAUGGGGGAGAGUCGCUGUUUCUGACCAGAGCGACUUGGACAGAUGUGAGCUGACCUGCCUGGCGAGCUCCUUCUGCCUUGCCUCUCUGAGCAGACUCAGGACCACUGCCUGUCCCCCUUGGCCCCAGGAGUGCCAGCAGCCUCCCUCCAACCCCUGCACUGCUGGGAAAACCAUCCGCCUUCAAGAUUUAUUUGUUGAUUUGUUUAGUUUUAUAAAAACAUAUCACUUAAAGGAUUCUUGUUCC
rnacentral:lncRNA from 1 species